CCUACGGGUGGCAGCAGUGAGGAAUAUUGGUCAAUGGGAGAGAUCCUGAACCAGCCAAGCCGCGUGAGGGAAGACGGCCCUAUGGGUUGUAAACCUCUUUUGUCGGAGAACAAAACCCGGGACGUGUCCCGGACUGCGUGUAUCCGAAGAAAAAGCAUCGGCUAACUCCGUGCCAGCAGCCGCGGUAAUACGGAGGAUGCGAGCGUUAUCCGGAUUGACUGGGUGUAAAGAGUUGCGUAGGUGGCAUAAUAAGUAGCUAGUGAAAUCUGGUGGCUCAACCAUUCAGACUAUUAGCUAAACUGUUAAGCUCGAGACCGUUAGGGGUAACUGGAAUUUCUAGUGUAGGAGUGAAAUCCGUAGAUAUUAGAAAGAACACCAAUAGCGUAGGCAGGUUACUGGGACGGUUCUGACACUAAGGCACGAAAGCGUAGGGAGCAAACGGGAUUAGAUACCCCAGUAGUC
rnacentral:rRNA from 1 species